GUGCCAGCCGCCGCGGUAAUACGGAGGAUGCGAGCGUUAUCCGGAUUCAUUGGGUUUAAAGGGUGCGUAGGCGGUUUUUUAAGUCAGUGGUGAAAUCCUGCGGCUCAACCGUAGAACUGCCAUUGAUACUGAGAAACUUGAAUAUAGUUGAGGUAGGCGGAAUGAGUAGUGUAGCGGUGAAAUGCUUAGAUAUUACUCAGAACACCGAUUGCGAAGGCAGCUUGCUAAGCUAUUAUUGACGCUGAUGCACGAAAGCGUGGGGAUCAAACAGGAUUAGAUACCCUGGUAGUCC
rnacentral:rRNA from 1 species